ensembl:lincRNA
GAAUUCUAUUUAGCCUUUGAAAAGGAUGAGACCCUGNNNNNNNNNNNNNNNNNNNNNNNNNGAGGCCCAGGUCAGUGAGGUCCAGGCCAGGUGAGAUCCAGGUCAGGUGAUGUCCAGGCCAGGUGAGGUCAAGGCCAGUGAGGCCCAGGCCAGGUCAGUGAAGUCCAGGCCAGGUGAGGCCCAGGGCAGGUAAGGUCCAGGCCAGGUGAUGUCCAGGGCAGGUGAGGUCCAGGCCAGGUGAUGUCCAGGUCAGGUGAGGUCCAGGGCAGGUGAGGUCCAGGCCAGGGGAGGCCCAGGUCAGGGGAGGCUCAGGUGCGUGUGCCAGGCUUCUGUGGUUUUCUCCCGGUGCCGACCUCGCCUGGCGUCCCUGCCCCUCCUCCCAGCCCCCUCUGCGCCUGCCCAUUGGCAGUCCCUGCAGGGUGGUGCUGGCUGUGGAGGGGCUGGGCUCGGCCUCCCCGUGCAUGGGCGUCCCUCUGGGCCCUGGUCUGGAGUGUGGCUGAGCUGCUUCUCUCUGGGAUGCACCGACUGUGCCCUCCUCGCUGGUCCGCGGCUCCGUGCUUGCUCCACGUCAGGCCCCAGGAGCUGCCAGCAGGGCGCCUGCCACCUGUCCGGGGAUGCCAGGGAGUUCGGUGUUUGUAUUUACACCACGCGCUCUGUACCCCGUUGCCACGUGAGGCCACCCCGUGAGUGCUGCCACGUUGUCACAGAUACUCGCCCACCUGCAGCCGACCCUGCCUCCCUGUGUCCUGCUGGCCAUGUAGGCGUAUUUUCUGCUAAGUAACCAGCCCAGCUGCAGGCCUUCCGGGGGUCUCACCGAGGCCAGGUGCAAAUCGUCCGUCUUACAGUCAUCAACAAACAAUGCGGAUGAGAAAACCACACAGAAAAGACCUUGAAACGCAGAGCUGUGCAGCCACGGGCCUCAUUAGUACACUCCACUUCUCGACGGGGUGAGGGAAGGGCGGGUACACCGUUUGUCACUUACCUCAUAGGGGCGGCUGUUUCAGUAGAAUUUCUUGGGCCAGCUCCCAGCCUGCUGUCACGAAAACUCACAGCGUGGUGCUGGAGGGAAAGGGUGUUUGGCAGUAAAUGUCCACAUCCAGACAGAAGAAAGGUCUCAAGUCAAUAAACUCAACUGUUAUUUUGGCCUACAGAAAACAUAUUGUUCAUCUUUGUUUAUAGAGUCUUAGGCUUCUAAAUUUGAGAUCGUUGGCAGUUUUCCUCCAACUGUAAUGAUAAUCAGCCAAUUUAAGGAGGUUUUCAGUUGCAGAAUUUCUAUAGCGGUAUCCUCUCCUGAAAUCUCAGUAUUCACUACUUAAAAACCCGUGCAUGGAUGCAGAGUGACAUCAGCAAGAUGGAUGACUAGAGAAGCCUGGUGCUCUUCCCCACCCUCCCCACAAGAAAGGACCAAGGCAAAGAAGAAACGGCGCAGGUUUGACCAGAGUACGGAAGGGAGUGAUUCUUUAUCAGUCGGUAAUCCCGACUGAUCAGAUGGAGUGCUGCAGAGGAGGGGAAUGCACCUGUGGUGAUCAGAGGCUCAGCGUGGAGGCACCUGGCCUUUGAAGCCUUGUCUUCCCCUGACUGGAUUGGCCUGGACACAGGAGGCACUUCCCACCAGCACCCACUGCCACCGCAAACAUCUGCAGCCCUUACAGCAGGAGAAUUCCACAGUCUGCGAGCCCUCGGCCAAGUUUGGGAGUUGCCGGGAAUGAUCCCAGAUCAGGAGCACAAGGUGUGUACUCCCCGCCCCCAUUCACGCCUGUGAGCUAAGCUGCUGCAACCCAGUGCCAUCUUGAGACCAGAGCCACCUCUGGAGUGCAUCCUGCCCUCAGGCCGGUAGCCACUGCCCCUCUCCAGCACUGGGGCUCCAUCUCCAUGAUGCCCAUAUGUGGGUGGCUGAAUGCCACAACCCUGGCAGUGCAGAGCCUAGGCCGAGGAUUGGCGGUGACUCUGGCCCUGCACAGCAAAAAACCCAACCCCUGCUGCUGCACGUCUAGCUGGAGGAAGAGCCUGCCAGUCCUGCCCAAGGUGAACCACAGCUGACUUGGCCAAGCUGAUGAGUGCCCUCCCCUGAGCAGGAGAGGCCCCUGACCACUGAGCACCUGGCACUACCUCCAGGCUGGCAGAGUGGAUAUGUGCCCACACUUGGGCACCCACUCCAAUUCCCACAGAUAUGCUGUUGACCUGUCCACGUUGCACUUGCAAUUAGGCCUGAGAAACAGCAUCAUGGGUCACCCCUAUACACUUCUACAGGCCAAAGAGCAGCUGUGCACCCAGGACCCAGACCUGAGAAACAACCCUGUGCCCCCUUAGCCCCCCAGUGGACCCAAAUCCAGGCCGGCUGAGGAAGACAUGUGGCUGUGUCCUGGGUCUGAGAAAAAGCCCAUGGGGUGCCCCCAGGAGACACAUGCCCAGGACAGUUGAGCAGCCAUGCACUUGUGUCCUGAACCUGAGAAACAGCCCCUGUGGAUUGCCCUCAGAAGCCACAGCCCCAGGCCAGCCAAAGAGAUCUGUGUUUGUGUCCUGGGCCCGAGAAACAGCCCCAUGUCCCCAACCCCAGUGAGCCUGGCACCAAGCUGGUCAAUCCACCAUGUGGA